GGGAUUUUUCAGAAAAUAUCAUGGUGACAGAUGUCAAAGUAAGCUUGAGAGGCUGUUUGGCUGCUGUUGCGUUCAAAGGAAGGAGAAGUGCAGCUCACAGAGCCUGUGACCCUCUGGCACUGAGCAGAAACCCACCCUGAGCACUGUUCAUCUGUGUUUUCUAUUGCUCUGGAAAUUGAACCAAACUGAAAGCAGUUUCCAAAAUCUGCAACUCAGAAGGCCAGUUUGCACCCUCACAAUCACAGCUAUGUUCCGGCAGGUUUGCAAUAAUCUACUUUAUAAGUGUAAACCUGGAUUCUGAACAAUCAAUCACUACAAGGUCAACUGCAGUCAUUGCCUGCCUGGUGUGAAUCAAAACUUAAGACACAUGGACAUUUAUGAGAAAAUAGAG